CUCGCUGUUCCUUUUUCCUAUGCAUAUACCUCUUUGAAAAAUAAAUGUAAAGGGGCAUAGGGCAUGGGAAAAUGGCGCAGCUGAGCC